rnacentral:lncRNA from 1 species
GAAGGCAGAAGCUGAGAAAAUAUUGCAGAUCAAGCGGGCUGAAGGAGAGGCAGAGUCCAAAUACCUAUCAGGGCUUGGCAUAGCUCGUCAACGUCAGGCCAUUGUUGAUGGACUGAGGGAUAGCGUGCUUGCCUUCUCUGAGAAUGUGCCUGGUACGAGUGCCAAGGAUGUGAUGGAUAUGGUGCUGGUGACUCAGUACUUUGAUACCAUGAAGGAGAUUGGGGCAUCCUCAAAGUCAUCUUCUGUUUUCAUCCCUCAUGGACCUGGCGCAGUGAGAGACAUCACUUCACAGAUUCGUGAUGGACUUCUUCAGGGAAAUUCUGCUCAGUAGUGAUGGAAUUCAAGCUUUGAAUGGAUUUACUUGGUUGAUGUUUGGCAUCUUAAGUUUUAUCUCUAGCUUUUUCAGAGUUUGU